AAAAUCCAUUUAUCAGUAGCACUAUUUGUCUACUACAUGCUUCAUAAAAGUGUUUUAUUUGUUUAUAAAAUGUAUAUGAUUGCAGUCCUUUGAUAACCUGAUACAACAUGUAAGUACCAUCGACCACUGACAUGAAAAGGAAAGUAAAAUACUUCCGUUCCUUUGGAAAUGACCUCAGGCUCAACCCACACAUGUCAUUAGUUGAGCUCAUUGAGACUGAAUUUCCUGACUGGCCAAUUACAUUAUCUCCACACUUCUGCUUCUAUUCUUUCAACAUGGAAUGUUUACAUGUGGCACACACUGUUGGCGCUUUUCAAAUAAACUAGCAAUAGACCGCCUUUUCCUCAUGGACCUGUUGCGCCAAAUGGCAGAGACCCGCUGAAUCCAUGUUCACAAUGAAAAGAGAAUCAUGGUUUAGUUGGUUUGUAAUUGGCAAACAUAUAAGGUAACAAAUUUAAUGCCCUUAUGUUGAACAUAUGUGUAUUUUUGAGUAAUCUCCCAUUGCGCAAAAUGACAGAGACCCACUAAACACCAUUUGUGCUCUGAGAUAAAAAUCCAUUUAUCAGUAGCACUAUUUGUCUACUACAUGCUUCAUAAAAGUGUUUUAUUUGUUUAUAAAAUGUAUAUGAUUGCAGUCCUUUGAUAACCUAAUACAACAUGUAAGUACCAUCGACCACUGACAUGAAAAGGAAAGUAAAAUACUUCCAUUACUUUGGAAAUGACCUCAGGCUCAAGCCACACAUGUCAUUAGUUGAGCUCAUUGAGACUGAAUUUCCUGACUGACCAAUUACAUUAUCUCCACAGUUCUGCUUCUAUUCUUUCAACAUGGACUGUUUACAUGUGGCACACACUGUUGGCGCUUUUCAAAUAAGCUCGCAAUUGACCGCCUUUUCCUCAUGGAC
rnacentral:lncRNA from 1 species